UUCCGUUUAGUGACUGUCCAAAGUUACAACGGCACCGGGAAAAAAAAGGCGACCUUACAACCAGUUUUCACACUGAUGACCUUUGCAGCAUCCCCUUAACCACAAGACCAAAAUUCAGACGCUUGGCAACUUGGCUCAUAUUUAUGACGGUUGCAGCGUCCCAGGGUUACGUGAUUCCCUUUUGCAUCCUUCUGGCAAGCCAAGUCAAGGGGGAGAGGCUGGAUUCGCUUAACGACCGUGUUGCUAAUUUAACAACUGCCGGGAUUCCCUGAAGAGCUGCGAAAAAACACCACUUCUGAGGGAUGUGCUGCCUUCUCUCGCUGCUGUUUCAUUGCCUGUACUUAAAACCGAGGAGAAAAUUUCAUUAUGGCGGUUCCCCCUUCAACCUAUAACAUCAGCAGUGGUGGCUGAGCUGAAGUUGCUGCAUUCCAAGGAGAGAAUGUAUAAAAGGAAUGGCCUCAUGGCCAACGUGACCGUGACUUCCGCCACUCCAGAGGUAAUACCAGUUUCCGUUCCAACUCGGAACAAACCAUCGCUGAAAUUGGGCAUCCCUUAGGAGACCGUCUAACGUUGAAUUUCUCCCGAUUAUUUAAGAAAGUAGCGCUACACAGAGAAUGAUUAAUUUUGAACGCUACUGUCCCAACCGUCUUUAAUGGGGCUGUGAUUCUGCCUAGACCGGUCAUGGAGUUUGGUGGGAAAUGUCCCAUUUAGAAUAGAAUAACGGAGCUGGAAGGGGACCUUGGAGGUCUUCUAGUCCAACCCACUGCCCAGGCAGGAAACCCUACACCACUUCAGGCAAAUGUUUAUCCAGCCUCUUCUUAAAAACUCCCAGUGUUGCAGCAUUCACAACUUCUGGAGGCCAGGAGUUCCACUGGUUAAUUGUUCUCAACUGUCAGGAAUUUCGUCCUUAGUUCCAGGUUGAUUCUCACCUUGGUUGGUUUCCACCCGUUGCUUCUUGUCCUGCCUUCUGGUGCUUUGGGAAACAGAUUGAGCCACCUCUCCUUUCUCCCCCCCUUGCAAAUGAACAUGGAGUCCUUGGUGCUGUCUGAGCUUGGUAGUUUCCUUGCAGACGUUUCAUUACCCAACUAGGUAACAUCAUCAGUGCUAGAAAUGAGUGGGGUGUCUGGAGUGAAGGAGGAGGAGGAGGACUGUGGGGUCCUUGGUGCUCUCUGAGCUUGGUGGUUUUCUUGCAGACAUGUCAUGACCCACCUAAGCCAGUGGUAGUAGGGAGUGCAAAGUGCUAACAGGGAGAGCAAUGCCCACUCCCCACAAAUCCUGAUGGUAUUACCUAGUUUGGUAAUGAAACGUCCGCAAGAAGCUCAGAAAGGACCAAGGACUCCAUAGUUAGUCUAGUUUAUUGUCAUUGCACCUCGUACCGUGAGAUUUAAAUGCCAUCUUCAGUGUACGUUACAACUAUAAAAAUAAAACACAAACACACAAUCCUUUGCUUCUAUGCCAUUGAAUUGAAUAGAAUUCAAUUAAAUAGAAUGCCUUAAAGUCAAC
ensembl:lncRNA